rnacentral:rRNA from 1 species
GCAUAUCAAUAAGCGGAGGAAAAGAAACCAACAGGGGAUUGCCCUAGUAACGGCGAGUGAAGCGGCAACAGCUCAAAUUUGAAAUCUGGCCUCACGGUCCGAAUUGUAAUUUGUAGAGGAUGUUUCUGGCGACGUGUCUUCCGAGUUCCCUGGAACGGGACGCCAUAGAGGGUGAGAGCCCCGUCCGGUCGUACACCUAGCCUCUGUGAAACUCCUUCGACGAGUCGAGUAGUUUGGGAAUGCUGCUCUAAAUGGGAGGUAUACGUCUUCUAAAGCUAAAUACCGGCCAGAGACCGAUAGCGCACAAGUAGAGUGAUCGAAAGAUGAAAAGCACUUUGAAAAGAGGGUUAAAUAGUACGUGAAAUUGCUGAAAGGGAAGCGCUUAUGACCAGACUUGGGCUCGGUGAAUCAUCCGGCGUUCUCGCCGGUGCACUUUGCCGUCCCAGGCCAGCAUCAGUUCGCGCCGGGGGAUAAAGGUUUCGGGAAUGUAGCUCCCUCGGGAGUGUUAUAGCCCGUUGCGUAAUACCCUGGCGUGGACUGAGGUCCGCGCUCUGCAAGGAUGCUGGCGUAAUGGUCAUCAGUGACCCGUCUUGAAACACGGACCAAGGAGUCGUCUUCGUAUGCGAGUGUUCGGGUGUCAAACCCCUACGCGUAAUGAAAGUGAACGUAGGAGAGAGCUUCGGCGCAUCUCCGACCGAUCCUGAUGUUCUCGGAUGGAUUUGAGUAAGAGCAUACGGGGCCGGACCCGAAAGAAGGUGAACUAUGCCUGUAUAGGGUGAAGCCAGAGGAAACUCUGGUGGAGGCUCGCAGCGGUUCUGACGUGCAAAUCGAUCGUCAAAUAUGGGCAUGGGGGCGAAAGACUAAUCGAACCUUCUAGUAGCUGGUUUCCGCCGA